rnacentral:rRNA from 1 species
UACGGAAGGCAGCAGUGGGGAAUAUUGCACAAUGGGCGAAAGCCUGAUGCAGCUAUGCCGCGUGUAUGAAGAAGGCCUUAGGGUUGUAAAGUACUUUCAUCGGGGAGGAAAAACAAAACUAAUAAUUUUAUUUCUUGACGUUACCCGAAAAAGAAGCACCGGCUAACUCCGUGCCAGCAGCCGCGGUAAUACGGAGGGUGCUAGCGUUAAUCAGAAUUACUGGGCGUAAAGAGCACGUAGGUGGUUUUUUUAAGUCAGAUGUGAAUCCCUGGGCUUAACCUAGGAACUGCAUUUUGAAACUGAAAUACUAGAGUAUCGUAGAGGGAGGUAGAAUUCUAGGUGUAGCGGUGAAAUGCGUAGAUAUCUGGAGGAAUACCUGUGGCGAAAGCGGCCUCCUAAACGAAUACUGACACUGAGGUGCGAAAGCGUGGGGAGCAAACAGGAUUAGAUACC